rnacentral:rRNA from 1 species
AUUGAACGCUGGCGGCAGGCCUAACACAUGCAAGUCGAGCGAGCGGCGGACGGGUGAGUAAUGCCUGGGAAUUGCCCAGUCGAGGGGGAUAACAGUUGGAAACGACUGCUAAUACCGCAUACCAUUGGAUUGCCCAGGUGGGAUUAGCUAGUGGGUGAGGUAAUGGCUCACAAAGGCGACGAUCCCUAGCUGGUCUGAGAGGAUGAUCGGCCAAACGGGAACUGAACAACGGUCCAGACUCCUACGGGAGGCAGCAUGGGGGAAUAUUGCACAAUGGGGGAAACCCUGAUGAGGCAAGGCCGCGUGUGUGAAGAAGGCCUUCGGGUUGUAAAGCACUUUCAGCGAGGAGGCGUUACUCGCAGAAGAAGCACCGGCUAACUCCGUGCCAGCAGCCGCGGUAAUUC